UAUAUAUAUUACAAGACAGCACAAGUAAACAAGUAGAAGCCCUUAAAGAGGAAACACAAAAAUCCCUUAAAGAGUUACAGGAAACAAACAGGUGAAAGAAUUGAACAAAACCAUCCAGGAUCUAAAAGUGGAAAUAGAAAAAAUAAGGAAAUCACAAAGGGAGACAACACUGGAGAUAGAAAAUCUAAGAAAGAAAUCAGGAGGCAUAGAUGCAAGCAUCACCAACAGAAUACAAGAUAUUGAAAAGAGAAUCUUAGGAGCAGAAGAUACCAUAUAAAACAUUGACACAAUAGUCAAAGAAAAAGCAAAAAGCUCAUAACCCAAAACAUCCAGGAAAUCCAGGACACAAUGAGAAGACCAAAUCUAAGGAUAAUAGGUAUAAAAGAGAAAGAAGAUUUCUAAGUUAAAGAGUCAGUAAAUAUCUUCAACAAAAUUGUAGAAGAAAAUUUCCCUAAUCUAAUGAAAGAAAUUCCUAUGGACAUACAGGAAACCUACAGAUUGGACCUACACCAAACAGAUUGGACCAGAAAAGGAUUUUCUUUCAUCACAUAAUAGUCAAAACACCAAAUACACAAAACAAAGAAUACCAAAAGCAGUAAGGAAAAAUGUCAAGUAACAUAUAAAGGCAUACCUACCAACAUUACACCAGACUUCUCACCAGAGGCUAGGAAAACUAGAAGAUCCUGAGUAGAUGUCACACAGACACUAAGGGAACACAAAUACCAACACAGGCUGCUAUAUCCAGCAAAACUCACAUUUAACAUAGAUGGAGAAACCAAGAUAUUCCAUGACAAAACCAAAUUUAUACAAUAUCGUUCCACAAAUCCAGCCCUACAAAGGAUAAUAGAUGGAAAACUCCAAUACAAGGAGGGAAAUACACCCUAGGAAAAGCAAGAAAGUAAUCUUGCAACAACCCAAAAGAAGAUAGCUACACAAACAUAAUUCCAUCUCUAACAACAAAAAUAACAGGAAACAAUAAUCACUGGUCCCAAAUAUCUCUCAAUAUGCAUGAACCCAAUUCCCCAAUAAAAAGACAUAGACUAAGAGACUGGAUACUUAAAGAGGACCCAGCAUCUUGCUGCAUACAGGAAACAUACUUCAGUGACAAAGACAGACACUUUCUAAGAGUAAAAGGCUGGAAAAAAUUUUCCAAGCAAAUAUAAGAUAAAAUCAACUUUCAACUAAAAGUUAUCAAAAAUAUAAGGAAGGACACUUCAUACUCAUCAAAGGAAAAAUCUACCAAGAUGAAUUCUCAAUUCUGAACAUCUAAGCUGCAAAUGCAAGGGCACCCACAUUCAUAAAAGAAACUUUAUUAAGCUCAAAACUUUAAUAAAGUGCAAAGCACACUUUGUACUUCACACAUAAUAAUGGAAGACUUAAACGCACCACUCUCAGAGAAAGAGUGAAACUAACAAAUUAUGAACCAAACGGAUUUAACAGAUAUCUGUGGAACAUUUCUUCCUAAAACAAAGAAUAUACCUUCUCAGCACCUCAUGGUACAGUCUCCAAAAUUGAUCAUAUAAUCAAUCACAAAAUAGAUCUCAACAGAUACAAGAAGAUUGAAGUCAUCCCUUGCAUCCUAUCAGAUCACCAAGGACUAAGGCUGGUCUUCAAUAAGAAGAAAAAUAGCAGAAAUCCAUGUAUACAUGGAAAAUGAACAAUGCUCUAUCCAAUUACUUAUUCAAGGAAAAAAUAAAGAAAUUAUUGACUUUUUAGAAUUUAAUGAAAAUGAAGGCACAACAUACCCAAACUUGAGGGACACAGUGCUAAGAGUGCCUCCAAAGAGAAAUUGGAGAGAGCAUUCACUAGCAGCUUGACAGCACACCUAAAAGCUCUGGAACAACAACAACAAAAAAGCAAUUUCACCUGAGAGGAGUAGAAGGUAGGAAAUAAUCAAACUCAGGGCUGAAAUCAACCAAGUACAAACCGAAAGAACUAUGACAAUGGAUCAACAAAACUGGGAGCUGGUUCUUUGAGAAAAAUCAACAAGAUAAAUAAACCCUUAGCUAGACUAAUCAGAGGGCACAGAGAGUGUAUCCAAAUUAACAAAAUCAGACAUGAAAAUGGAGACAUAACAAGAGAAACUUAGGAAAUUCAGAAAAUUAACUGAUCCUACUAUAAAAGCCUAUAGCCAGCAAAACUGGAAAAUCUGGAGGAAAUGGACAAUUUUCUAGACAGAUACCAGGUACCAAAGUUAAAUCAGGAUCAGAUAAACCAUAUAAACAGUCCCAUAACUCCAAAGGAAAUAGAAGCAGUCAUUAAAUGUCUCCCAACCAAAAGAGACCCAGCACCAGUUGGGUUUAGUGCAGAAUUCUAUCAGACCUUCAAAGAAGACCUCAUACCAAUACUGUCCAAAUUAUUCCACAAAAUAGAAACAGAAGGAACACUAACCAAUUUGUUCUUUGAAGCCACAAUUACACAUAUACCGAAACCACAAAAAGUUCCUACAAAGAAAGAACUUCAGACCAGUUUCCGUCAUGAAUAUCAAUGCAAGAAUAUUCAAUAAAAUUCUAGCAAACCGAAUCCAAGAACAGAUCAAAACGAUCAUUCAGCACGAUCAAGUAGGCUUUAUCCCAGGGAUGCAAGGAUGGUUCAAUAUACAAAAAUCCAUCAACUUAAUCCACUAUAUAAGCAAACUCAAGGAAAACCACGUGGUCAUUUCAUAGAUGCUGAGAAAGCAUUUGACAAAAUUCAACACCACUUCACGAUAAAGUGUUGGAAAGAUCAGGAAUUCAAGACCCAUACCUUAACAUAGUGAAAGCAAUAUACAACGAACCAGUAGCCAACAUCAAAGUAAAUGGAGAGAAACUUGAAGCAGUCCAGGGACUAGACCAGACUUCCUACUCUAUCCUUUUCUUUCUUGCUGGUCUCUGAAGAGUUAAAAGAUAUUUGAAGUCCUCGCCAAAACAAUUAGACAAUCAAAGGAGGUCAAGGAUGCAAAUGAUAUGAUAGUAUACUUAUGUGACCCCAAAAAUUCCGCCAGAGUACUCCUACAGUUGAUAAACAACCUCAGCAAAGUCCUGGAUAUAAAAUCAACUCAAAUCAGUAGCCUUCUUCUACCCACAGGAUAAACAUGCUGAAAAAGAAAUUAGUGAAUGGACACCCUUCACAAUAGUCACAAAUAAUAUAAAAUACCUUUAUGUGACUCUAACCAAGCAAGUGAAAGAUCUGUAUGACAAGAUCAAGUAUCUGAAGAAAGAAAUCGAAGAAGGUCUCAGAUGAUGGAAAGACCUCUCAUGCUCAUGGAUUGGCAGCAUUAAUAUAGUAAAAAUGACCCUCUUGUCAAAAGCAAUCUACAGAUUCAAAGUAAUCCCCAUCAAAAUUCCAACUCUAUUUUUCAUAAAGCAAUUUGCAAAUUCAUUUGAAAAAGCAAGAAACUCAGGAUAACCAAACUAUUCUCAACAAUAAAAGAACUUCUGGGGCAAUCACCGUCCCUGACCUCAAGCUGGAUUACAAAGCAAUCGUGAAAAAAGCUGCCUGGAUCAAUGGAUGGAUGGAUGGAUGGAUACAUAUACAUACAUAACGUACAUACAUACAUACAUACAUACAUACAUACAUACAUACAUACAUACAUUCGGUGAAAGUGUAGGAAUUCCCUGGUAGAAAUUUUGUUGUCAAUAUAUUAUAUUCUUUGGAGAUAAUGAUACAUUGACUUCUUCCUUUCCAAGUUCUUUUAUUUAUUUAUUUAUUUAUUUUUAUCUCACUCAGUUCUAUUAUUCUAACUAGAACUUAAUGUAUUACAUUGAACAGGUAAGGAGUGGACAGCCUUGGCUUGUUCCUAUUUUUAGUAGAACUGCUUUGAGUUUCUCUUCACUUAAUUGCUUUUAAGUAUAAGCUUGCUGUAAAUUGCUUUCAGUAUGUUUAAAUUAUAUUCCUUGAUUUCCAAAUCUAUCCUUGACUUGUAUCAUGAAUGCUUGUAUUAUGUCAAAGGCUUCUGAUAGAAUGAUAAUACAGAUUCUUUUUUUUUUCCAAGUUUGUUUAUAGGAUGGAUUACAUUGAACAGUUCCUAAAUUUCUGUGAUGAAGCCUACUUAAUCAUGUUGAAUGACAUUUUGAUGUGUUCUUGGUUUUGGUUUGCAAGUAUUUUAUUGCAUUUUUUUAUAUCUAUAUUCUUAAGGACACAGGUCUCCAUCUUUUUAAAAAAAUUUGUGGUUUGGAUAGUAAGGUGACUGGCUUCAUAAAAUGAAUUUGGCAGUGUUCUUUUUCAUUUGUGAAAUAAUUUGAGUAGUGUUACUUAAAAACUUUUUAGAAAAUCUAGUAGAUUUGUUUGCUAAAAAACUCUGGCCUUUGGCUUUUUGUUUGGGAUACUUUUAUUGACUGUUUCCACUUCAUCAGUAGUAUAGGCCUAUUUAAAUUGUUUAUCUGAUCUUGAUUUCAGUUUUGUAUGUGCUAUCUAUUGAAAAAAAUUAUCCAUUUCCUUUAGAUUUUCCAAUCUUGUGGAGUACAAGUUUUUAAGUGAUGACCUAAUGAUUUCUUUGGUUUCCUCGUUAUCUAUAUAUAUUCUUCCCUUUACAUUUCUGAUUUUGUUAAUUGUGAUAUUCUAUUUCCAUUUUUUGUUUUUGUUUUUGUUUUAAUUUUAGUUAGUUUGGAUACUGGUUUAUCCUGUUGAUUUUUCUCAAUGAACUGUUUUAUUGAUUCUUUGAAUUCUUUUUCUAUUUUAUUGAUUUUUAGACCUCAAUUUGAUUAUUCCUUGCAACCUAUUCCUAUUUGUGUGUAAUUAUUUCUUUAUGUUUUAGAGGUUAUAGGUGUGCCAUUAUGUUGCUAUUAUAAGAUCCACAACUUUUUGAUGUAGGCACUGUCUGCUAUGAGCUGUCCACUUAACACGACUUACAUUGUGUCUCAUAAAUUUGGGUGUGUUGUGUAUUCAUUUUCAUUGAAUUCCAGAAAGACUUUGUUUUUAAAUAUCUGCCUUGGAAACAUGAAAAUGCAGAAACAUUCUAUAUGGGAUCUCCAGUGAUAUAAAAGAAAGUGGCCCUGAUUGGAUUAUCAGGAAUGAUACUUUUAGAAGACGUGGUCUUGUUGAAGUAGGUUUGGCUUGUUGGAAGCAGUUUUUCACUGAGGUUUGGCUUUGAACUUUCAUGAGCUCACUGUCUCUUCCUGCUGCUUAUUAAUCCAGAUGCAGAACUUUCAGCUACCUCUCCAGUACUACAUCUGCCUGCAUGCCACUAUGCUUCCUUCCAUGAUAGUAAUUGAUGAAACCUCUGAGUACGUAAGACCAUUCCAUUUAAAUGUUUUCCUUCAUCAGAAUUGCCAUGGACAUGGAGUCUUUUCACAGCAAUCAAUUCUGACUGAAACAACAUUCAUCAGGGAGCUCCUUUCCCAAAACACAGUAUUGUUUCGCCAUCUAUUUAUCCUGCUUUCUGCAUGGUAAACAGUUAAGGUAAAUAUCAGAAAGCUUUUCUUAAUUCUUAUAUUAAAGUCCUGUUGCAAUGAAGAUUAUUUUGAUCAUGCACAAAAGGAUAUUUCAACAACGAUAAGCCUCUGCUGAGAGUAUCAUUCUAGAGAAUUGUUAGUUUACUAAUAGUAACAAAUAUAACCAAAAAUUGGUUUUGGGAUAUUUUUAAUCAUGCACCAAUCUCUAUAAGCCUUAAUUGUAUUCAUUUUCCAGUGAAUCUUAAUAUAAGUGAUAAAUAUGGGCAAGUCUUGAAUCAAGGCCCAAAGUAUUUUGCCUAGCAACAUGUGAAUACCCAAUAGAAAUCUUACACAGAUAAUGAUUUUGGGAAUGAUUUAUGAAUCCUCACAGUGCAUACUUUUUCAGAGACAAAUGAUACAACAGAAAAUUGUAGUGCUGAUGUCAUAACCACAGAUAUUACUCUAUUGACACACUAAACCUGAACAUUCAUAAAAUGUUUGCAUAUUGGAGGACUUUAUGAAUAUAAAGACUGUGACAAAUGCCUUAAUUUGUUCAAACAUCAAAGUCCAAUAAUGAAUAUAUCCUAGACAACAAUGCACAAAAAAAGAGAUUGAAACUCCUUUGAUACUAAAUACAACUUAUGAUAAAAAUGAAUCCAAAUUGGAAAGAAAUCAUACCAAUGCAGAAAUUCAACAACAACCGGCUGCCUUCCAGAGAGAAUGUGACAGGGACAAGCUACUGGCAGUCUCCAAAACUGAAAACCAGCUACAAUUAAAUGUUUUCCUUUCUGAGAUGUGUAGUGUUCAUGAUGUCUCUUCAUAUAGACUCUUGCAUAUGAGACAGUCUUCUGUUUGCCUUCAGAACAAGAUGCAGAACUCUGAGCUCCUCCAGUAGCAUGCCUGGCCAGAUGCUGCUGUGCUUCCUGCCAUGAUUAUAAUUGACUGAACCUUUGAGCCUGUAAGACCGCAUCUAUUAAAUGUCCUUUAUAAAAGUUGCCUUGGUCUGGGUGUCUUUUCACCGCAAUGGAAACCCUAACUGAGUCAUACAUGUAGCAGUGUUUCAGUUAUAGAUUCCCUUCUUGAGCCUGUGAGUGAUCUUUCCAGUCAUUGACUUUUGACCAGCUUCCAAUGCCAGCUAUGUAUUUCCUUUGUGGAUGAUCACAGUUUAAACCAGAAAUGCUUCAGUUACUUACAAAAAUAGUCUUGGCACUAUUGCGAUGGUGGAUAUGCCUUAUCUAACAGGUUGGUGUUGCAGCAGUAGGGAUCACCAUCUGUGGACAUCCAAUGCUGAUUCUUUUUGCAUAUUAGCCUUUUGAGCAGUUUGAGUACUAUACUAGCAUAUCCAAGACAUUUUUAGACUAUAAGUAGUCUGCUGACUUCUCAGCAUAUUCCCAUGGGAUUUAUUAAACCAAGUGAUAUUUUUCUUGUAUUUUGAUAUAGCUUAUCAUGAGUCUUUUCAGAUUGGACCAUUCUUGUAGACUAUUUGUAGGUUUUGAAUUGAAGAAUUAUGUUUCCCAAAUUAUGUAAUUUGGGAAAAUAUGCCUUCCUCGUUUUCUUAUUUAACACAUUGAAAAUGUUCUAAGUCUUACUAGAUCUUUGUAAGCAUAGUGUAUCCACACUGUGAUGAGUUAGUUUCUUCUGAGUACAGUAGGUUUCAAAGUUUGUAAUGACAGGUUCAAGAUGUUGGCUACUAUCUUGAUUAUACUGAGGUAUGUUCCUUCUGUUCUCAUAUUCUUCAGCACUUUCACAGUGUCACAGUGAACCAAUGUGAUAAUUUGCCCGAGACCUUUCAUGGAUAUAGUUGUGUAUCUCUCUCACUAAUUGUAUAUAUUUUGUGUGGGAGUUGCCUGGUUUACAGGUGUUGAAACAAUCUUGCAUCAUUGACAUGAAGUCAACUUGAGAUCCCUUUUUGUAUCCAUUAGAGAAUCCCUUUGUUAAUGUGCAUCCUUGUAACAAUCUGUGAUUGUUUUCUUUGUAAAUAACUUUUUUGCUUAUCUGCUUUCUGUAUCAAGGUAAAGCCAGAUUUCUGUUAUGACUGCCUAACAUGGCUUUUCAUUCUGUAUUCUGCAGUAUUCAUUUUGCAAGAUUAUUAUAGGUUUUUCUGAAAUAAUUGGAGAAUUCAUAGAGAGUAGAUCCAGUUCUCAUACAUUGUUAGUGGAAACACUGUGUCAGCACUUGCUCAUUUCCUGGCCUAAUUUUAUGGCAUACAAGUUUGAUUUUCACUUGUUUCUAGGAAAUCAUCUUUUCAUUUUCAAUUCUCAGUAGUUAUGUAUGACUUUACAUAGUAUAUCAUCCAUCUGCUAUUUCCCAUUGUCACACUAAAAUACUAGAAUAGUGGCAUAGAAAGAGACCAUUAAGCAUCUGUUAAAUGUCUGGAGAACUACUUGACAUUAGAGAAAUAUAAGUCAAUAUUAUACAUAAAAAGAGUUGCAUAUAUACUAAUAUCAUGGUUAUGACAACAUUUUGUAGUAAUAGUAUUUCAACAUUCAGAAUGAGUUCUUUUCUUUUGAGACAUACAUAAAUGUAUGUAUAUGUGUGUCUAUUCAUAUAUUUGUAUACUAGUAUGUGAUUGUAUAUGUACAGCAAUAUAUGAUAGGAGACCCAUGUCACAUAGUCUUCCUUUCCUUGGAACUGCAAGGGAUAUCAUAGAGGAAAUCCAUAACACCCAGGAACAGGGGUGGGGGGUCUCACUGAAUUAAUGUUUAUUACUGAUUUGGACCUGAGAACUGCCUGAAACAAUUUCAAGACACAGACAUAUGCAUCUUCAGGAAGAUGUUCCCAAUGAUGAUAGGAUUUUGACAGAUUUGACAUAAUGACAGAUUUCCAAGGGUAUACCUGGAAACGAUUCACUUUAUAUCUAUGUACAAUCUCUUAUAUGUAGCAGCCAUCAGAGAGGUUCUGCCAUGCCCAAUUCUUGAUGAUUCUGCCUUGACAUUGUCUAGAACAGUUGUUCUUAACUUGUGGGUCAUGACCUCUUGUGGGUCAAUUGACCCUUUCAUACGGGGGUCACCCAACAGUACUAUAAAACACAUAUUUCUGAUGGUUUUAAGAACUGAUACACCACUCUUAUAUCAAUAUACAGGUGGGUCUGCCACAUCAACAUAUGAUAUCCUGGUACUGUUUUCAAAGGUCCAAGCAUUAAAAAUGUGGAGAACCACUUAAAAAAUUUAGCAUAUGGACAUUCUAUUUAAAGACAGAUAUUGUAUAUAGAGUGAUGGCUAAUGAAACUCUAUUUACUUUUAGGCAUCCAUCUUAGUACCCACUAACCAAUUGUCCCUGACUCUGGUCCUUGAAUGAUAAGUUUCCAGUAAUAAUCUUAAGUACUCAUGUUUUGCAGCAGGUAUACAUAUGCUCUGUGUUUGUGCCUAUUAUCCACUGAGAUUUGAAAAAAAUGCUGAAAUUGUAGUCAUUCUCCUUGCCGUAUUCAAUAUAUCAUUCCAUGCUCUCCUGUCUAUAAGAAUGUUGACAAAUUUUCUGGCAUCAUUUUAAUUUUUGUGUCUUUUCAUAUGUGGUAGCAUUUUCCAUAAUAGAAUUGUAUUAAUGUUAGCUUUUAAUUUUUGAAACCUUGAUGUGAAACUUCAAUAAGGAUUCGAGUCUAUAUUCCUGAGGCAGAAACUUGGAGAAGAACAAGAAGAAUAAUGAGUACUUCUAUGGUAAAUGCUUCCCAGUGAUCAUGAGUGUUUUCAUACAUGAAAUUUGCUUGUCCUAGAAGAGAUUCUGCCCAUUGCUCAAUGUGCCUGCAGAUUUCAGAAGAGAGCACUGGAUUUCAAAUUGGGAUGAAAAUAUAUUGUAAAGUUUCAGGCAGGUGCUGGGAAACAACUUUGGAUUAUAGAACAUAAACUGCAGAAAAAUUUUGAAAUAGUGUUAUGAUGGCAAGUCCUUCGUCUGCUGAUAAUGUCUUAGAAAACAUCAGAAAACUCAUGAAGAGGAGAGACUUUAUGAAUGGUCAGUUAACCUUCAAGGAUGUGGCCGUGGACUUCUCACAGGAAGAAUGGAAAUGUCUUGACUGUGCUCAGAGGGACUUGUACAUGGAUGUCAUGUUGGAGAAUUACAAGAAUCUAUUUUUUGUGGAGAAUCAUCAUAUAUGUCAUAAAUGUGAGAACGUCUUGGUUCAAGACACACAGCAUAUUGUUGAUGAGCAUGUGAAUAUCCAUGAGAAGUCUUAUAAAUGUCACAAGCUUUGCAAAAUCAUUUAUAAAUCCACUGAAUGUACAUCUUAUAAAACUAACCUUGGGGAUACAUCUAUUGAAUCAUCAAAACAAAACAGACAUCAAACUGAAAACACCAGAGAACCUUGCCAAUCUAUAAACUGCGUAAACUGUUUAAAUUUGUGUUCUAACACUAGUCCAAAUCAAGGAAUCCACAUAGGAAAGAAAAAACACAAUGGCACAACACUUGAUAAGGUUUUCCACUCUAAACAAAAACUCAUGCUGAAACAAACCAAUAGUGGAAAGAAACCUUACAAAUGUAGUGAAUGUGACAAAUGUUUUACCAAGAAAUGUGAUCUUGGUAUUCAUCAGAGAAUUCAUAAACCGGAGAAACCUUACAAAUGUAGUGAAUGUCUUAAAUCUUUUACCCAGAAAUGCAAUCUUAGAAGACAUCAGAGAAUUCAUACAGGAGAGAAACCUUACAAAUGUAGUGAAUGUGACAAAUGUUUUACCAACAAAUGCAGUCUUAUUAUUCAUCAGAGAAUUCAUACAGGAGAGAAAGCUUACAAAUGUAGUGAAUGUGACAAAUGCUUUAACCGCAAAUGUGAGCUUAGAAGUCAUCAGAGAAUUCAUACAGGAGAGAAACCUUAUAAAUGUAGUAAAUGUGAGAAACAUUUUACCACCAAAGGUGAACUUAGAAGUCAUCAGAGAAUUCACAUAGGAGAGAAACCCUACAAAUGUAGUGAAUGUGGCAAAUACUUUACCCAAAAAGGCAGUCUUAUUAUUCAUCAGAGAAUUCAUACAGGAGAGAAACCUUACAAAUGUAGUGAAUGUGACAAAUGCUUUACCCAAAAAUGUAGUCUUAUUUUUCAUCAGAGAAUUCAUACAGGAGAGAAUCCUCACAAGUGUAGUGAAUGUGACAAAUGCUUUACCCUCAAAAGUGAUCUUAGAGUUCAUCAGAGAAUUCACACAGGAGAGAAACCUUACAAGUGUAGUGAAUGUGACACGUCUUUUAUCAAGAAAUCCAAUCUUAGAAGACAUCAGAGAAUCCAUACAGGAGAGAAACCUUACAGAUGUAGUGAAUGUGACAAAUCCUUUACCCACAAAUGCAGUCUUAGUAUUCAUCAGAGAAGUCAUACAGGAGAGAGGCCUUACAAGUGUAGUGAAUGUGACAAAUGCUUUACCAACAAAGGCUACCUUGUUAGUCAUCAGAGGAAUCAUACGGGAGAGAAACCUUAUAAAUGUAGUGAAUGUGACAAAUGCUUUACACACAAAUGCAGUCUUAGUAUUCAUCAGAGAUCUCAUACAGAAGAGAAACCUUACAUAUGUAGUGAAUGUGGUAAAUUCUUUAGCCACAAAUGUAGUCUUCGCACACAUCAGAGAAUGCAUACAGUAGAGAAAGUUUAGAAAUGAAGUGAGUAAGACAAAUUCUCUACCAUGACUAUAUCAGAGAAUACAAACAGAAGAGAAACGUAACUAAUGUUAUAUAUCAGGAAAGGUCUUUACCUUUAUCACGGAUCUAAGGAAAUAUCUAGAAAUUUACAGUGGGAAAAAGUUUCUAGCAGAAAAAAAUGGCAUGUGAUUUGUCUACUCAUGAUUCUUUGCAACACUUGAGGCUCCACACGGAGAACUAUUAUGAACACAAGAAACUUGUGAACAUCUUUAGGUUAUGUUCAAAUCUUAUAAGCUAUACUGCACUUGUACUGAACCACCAAAAAUCCGACAUUAAUGAAAUUUUUAUUGCAACUUUUUAAUUGUUUAUCCUUAAAUAAUUCAUUAUGAAAUCAAAUAGGGAACCCAGAAUAAUGUCAAAUUGUUUUAACAGUUUCCAGAAGGCUGAACUAAUCCACUGAAUAGGGAAACUGAUUAAAGCGGGUAAUGCACCUCUCAAAAUAGAUAAUGAAACCGAUAGCAUUCUAUAUGUUUAUCUUAAAUGAAAAACUCAGGUAUUUUUCUUGAAAAUGGAUUUGACAAAUUGAGACACCAAGAUACGAUGUCUUUUUUUCUGUAAAUAUGUUUACAGAUAUGCAGUUUCCUAUGAAUGUCCAGGAUUCACAGUCUGUACCAUAGGAUGUUUUCACAUUUCAGAAUUUCUACUUUCUUUUGGUCCCUUUGGCUCUGGUCACAAUUCCUUUUCCAUAGUCCUGUAAUUCCAAUAAAGCUCAUUGUUUCAACAAA